rnacentral:tRNA from 1 species
GCGAGCAUAGUUUAGUGGUAAAAUAUGAGCUUCCCAAGCUUAGGUUGCGGGUCCGAUUCCCGUUGCUCGCUCCA